rnacentral:rRNA from 1 species
CGAACGCUGGCGGUAUGCUUAACACAUGCAAGUCGAACGUGAAAGCAGACUUCGGUCUGUAAGUAAAGUGGCGCACGGGUGAGUAACACGUGGAUAAUCUACCCGACAAUCAGGGAUAACAUUUCGAAAGGGAUGCUAAUACCUGAUAAGCCCACGACCUCUUCGGAGGCUGUGGGAAAAGGUGGGGACCUUCGGGCCUACCGUUGUCGGAUGAGUCCGCGUCCCAUUAGCUAGUUGGUAGGGUAAUGGCCUACCAAGGCUACGAUGGGUAGCUGGUCUGAGAGGAUGAUCAGCCACACUGGAACUGAGACACGGUCCAGACUCCUACGGGAGGCAGCAGUGGGGAAUUUUGCGCAAUGGGCGGAAGCCUGACGCAGCAAUACCGCGUGAGUGAUGAAGGCUCUUGGGUCGUAAAGCUCUGUCAGAGGGGAAGAACCUCCUGUCGUUUAAUACGCGGCAGGCCUGACGGUACCCUCAAAGGAAGCACCGGCUAACUCC